GUCUUCUCUCUCUUCUUUUUAAUAAGGCUGGCUAAUGGUUUAUCUAUCUUAUUGAUUCUUUCGAAGUACCAACUCCUGGUUCUGUUGAUCUGUUCCACAGUUCUUCUGGUCUCGAUUUCAUUGAGUUCUGCUCGAAUCUUUAUGAACUCUCUUCUUCUCCUGGGUGUAGGAUCUAUUUGCUGUUUUUCUCUAGCUCCUUUAGGUGUAAGGUUAUCUUUUGUAUUUGAGUUCUUUCCAGUUUUUGAAUGGAUGCUUGUAUUGCGAAGUAUUUCCCCCUCAGGACUGCUUUUGCUGCAUCCCAAAGAUUUUGAACGGUUGUAUAUUCUUUCUCAUUAGUUUCCAUGAAUGAAUCUUUUUAAUUCUUCCUUAAUUUCCUGGUUGAACCUUUCAUCUUUUAGCAGGAUGGUCCUUAACCUCCACGUGUUUGAGGUCCUUCCAAACUUCUUGUUGUGAUUUAGUUCUAAUUUCAAGGCAUAUGGUCUGAGAAUAACAGGGGACGAUCUCAAUCUUUUGGUAUCGGUUCAGACCCGAUGUGUGACCCAGUAUGUGGUCUAUUCUGGAGAAAGUUUCAUGUGCACUUGAGAAGAAUGUGUAUUCAGUUGAGUUUGGAUGUAAAGUUCUGUAGAUAUCUGUGAAAUCCAUCUGGUCCAGUGUAUCAUUUAAAGCUCUCGUUUCUUUGGAGAUGUUGUGCUUAGAAGACCUAUCGAGGGUAGAAAGAGCUAGAUUGAAGUCACCAAGUAUAAGUGUAUUAUUAUCUAAGUAUUUCUUCACUUUGGUUAUUAAUUGGUUUAAAUAUUUGGCAGCUCCCACAUUCAGGGCAUAUAUAUUGAGGAUUGUUAAGUCCUCUUGUUGGAUAGAUCCUUUAAGUAUGAGAUAGUGUCCCUCUUCAUCUCUCACUACAGUCUUCGGGGUAAAUUUUAGUUUAUCUGGUAUAAGGAUGGCUACCCCUGCUUUCUUUUGAGGACCAUUUGAAUGGUAAAUGGUUCUCCAACAUUUAUUUUCAGGUUAUAGGUGUCCUUCUGUCUCUAAAAUGAGUCUCUUGUAGACAGCAAAUAGAUGGGUCCUGCUUUUUUAUCCAGUUGGAAACCUGUGAUUUUUGAUGGUGUCAUUAAGUCCGUUCACAUUCAGAGUUACUAUUGACAGCUAUGAGUUUAGUGUCAUCAUGAUAUCUAUUCAGUCCUUGUUUUUGUGGAUUGUUGCACUGGACUUCUUCUUAAAAGGGGAAUUUUAGAGUCCCCCCUUAAAAUUUCUUGCAGAGCUGGUUUGGAGGUCACAUAUUCUUUCAGUUCCUGCCUGUCCUGGAAGCUCUUUAUCUCUCCUUCCAUUCUGAAUGAGAGCCUUGCUGGAUAAAGUAUUCUUGGUUGCAUGUUCUUCUCAUUUAGGACCCUGAUAUAUCCUGCCAGCCCUUUCUGGCCUGCCAGGUCUCUGUGGAGAGGUCUGCUGUUACCCAAAACAAAUAAACUCCUCCCCAUAAAAGUCAGGGAUUUCUUGUCUCUUGCUGCUUUAAAGGAUCAUCU
rnacentral:lncRNA from 1 species